rnacentral:rRNA from 1 species
ACUCACAGGCAUGAAUAGCAUGUUUUUGUCCAUGCCCGUCAAGGAGGGAGGACUUGGACUGCGUUCUCUCUCCACGCAACACAUUGCACGACUGGCCGUAGGCGCUAACAGCAUGUCCAUCAGCACAGACACCGUCUCUAGGGUUGUGGCUGAUACCACAACCCUGCGAAAGCCCUUGCUCUCGGCCCUGGAGCACUUUGCAGUCCCCACAGCUACCAAAAGUGCUAUCCGGGAAGGAAAGCGCAACCUCCUUCGGGCGGAGAUCGCUCAGCUCUCGGAAACGUACCAAGGCAGCUGUCUUCCAUCUUUUAAACAUGGGUCUCUGGUUAAUUCCUGGCUGCGAGGCACUAGUGGCAUGCGUAGUCGGGAUUACAUCACCGGGUUGAAACUGCGGUUCGGAGUUAUCGAGACGCGCAGUCAGAAGUGGAGGGGCCGAACUCCACAGAACCCGGACGCGCUGCUGUGUAGGCACUGUGGUCACUCCUCCGGUAACCGGGAGACAGCCGCACAUGUCUCACAGAAGUGUCUCGUGACACACGCGCUGAUCGUCCAGAGACACAACAAGAUCGUGCGUCUUGUUGGGGACCGUGCGAAGGAUGAAGGCUUCGCAGUGCAUGUCGAGACGGCCGUUAAGUCAGGGGAGGAGGUUUACAAACCUGACUUAAUACUCAUAAAAGCCGACACCGCACACAUAAUAGACGUCGCAGUGCCAUGGGAAAAAGGCACAAAUAUGCACGAAAAGCAUGAAAGGAAAACUAACAAGUACGCACAACUGGCAGACGACGUCAAGGCUCUCUUUGGCGUUCAAAACUGCACGGUAGGGGCUUUAGUAAUCGGCGCGCGCUCCAGCUGGUGUACAAGCAAUGACGGAUCACUGAAAGCAUGCGGAUUGCACUUGCCCAAGAAGUUCAAGAGACUACUCUGCAGGGUUGCACUCGAAGGCACCUGCAGAAUAUUCCGAACUUCUUCACACGCACAUAAGCACCAAAGGAAAAAAAAAAAAAAAAAAAAAAAAAAAAAAAAAAAAAAAAAAAACCAAAAACAUUGAUAAAAUACAAAAGACAAAAACACUAUAAAACCCAAAUAAAACAAAAAAAAAUGGCCUUGCCUGUUACCCUGCAUGCUGCCGCCGCUCCACCAGCUCCAUCCUCUGGAGCAUAGGGCAGCGGCACACCUAACAUUACUUUUAGGACUGACGGUGAAGAUUUGACGACUGAAGCCGACGACUCCGACGCAGAGCCCUGGCAGAAACCCGAACACUCGCCGCCCCAUGCGAAAGAAAACACAGAAGAUCGGAACACUGAGGAACAGUCAGAACCAUAUACGACACCUCAAACUCUGCGAACAUCCGAAAAUCCAGAAAUCCAAAGAAGGCGCAGACUGCACAGAACGACUACACGAAGGGAUUGCGCACGAAGAACAGACCACAAUUGGACGCCAGAACGCGGCACCACUCACCCCCAGAAGCAGGGCCCAUAACUGAUGUCCCACACCUUAUAACCCCCCACCACUUCUCUCUCCCCAGUAGUAUUGUUAAAACACGGUACCGGCCGUUAACCGGGCUGCAAUGCAGUACAUCAAGAAUUGAUUUAUGGUUGUAACAUUGUCUAUAAUCUGUCUCUAAUAAAGUCCCAUUGGUGCGCGUCAUAAAUUAGACUGACGGCAGCAGGCACUUUCCUUCGGGAGAGUCCUGCAAAUUCAGCAACUAGCCAAAUGCCUCGUCAUCUAAUUAGUGACGCGUAUGAAUGGAUCAACAAGAUUCCUUCUGUCCCUAUCUACUAUCUAGCGAAACCACAGCCAAGGGAACGGGCUUGGCAAAAUCAGCGGGGAAAGAAGACCCUGUUGAGCUUGACUCUAGUCUGACUCUGUGAAGAGACAUGAAAGGUGUAGCAUAGGUGGGAGAUUGUCAAAUUGCCAUCGUUCGCGCGGUGGUCCGGUGAUCGCCAAUGAAAUACCACUACUUUGAUCGUUUCUUUACUUAUUCGGUAAAGCGAAAAAAUUGUGGCCAAUUUGGCGGUGUUUAUGUCGCUGUUGGUCAUUGUUUUCAUGUUAGAUUGAAGCUUUGUUUACAGCCGUCGCUUUGUGUCGCCAUUUGACGCAUUGUUGUACUGGGUUAUCCCGGUGUGUGGUGUAGUCAGUAUGGAUGAUCGGCGAUAGGUUUGAAGUGAUUCGCUCCGGAAACAGUGUCAGACGGGGAGUUUGACUGGGGCGGUACAUCUGUUAAACGAUAACGCAGGUGUCCUAAGGUAAGCUCAGCGAGGACAGAAACCUCGCUUAGAGUAAACGGGCACAAGCUUACUUGAUUUUGAUUUCCAGUACGAAUAGAAACCGCGAAAGCGUGGCCUAUCGAUCCUUUUGAUUGUGUAGAUUUCAUGCAAGAGGUGUCAGAAAAGUUACCACAGGGAUAACUGGCUUGUGGCAGCCAAGCGUCCAUAGCGACGUUGCUUUUUGAUCCUUCGAUGUCGGCUCUUCCUAUCAUUGCGAAGCAGAAUUCGCCAAGCGUUGGAUUGUUCACCCACCAAUAGGGAACGUGAGCUGGGUUUAGACCGUCGUGAGACAGGUUAGUUUUACCCUACUGAUGACAAGUCGUUGCGAUAGUAAUCCUGCUCAGUACGAGAGGAACCGCGGGAUCAGACAUUUGGUUCAUGCGCUCGGCUGAAAGGCCGGUGGCGCGAAGCUAGCAUCUGCAAGAUUAUGACUGAACGCCUCUAAGUCAGAAUCUUUUCUAGUCAUUGGCAACGAUAAGUUGCGUCCAGACUCGAUGCGAGGAAACGAUUAGGCUUUGCUAUACGGCGAAGCCAUUAUCAGACCACGGUAGCAGGCAGUAUGGAUUGUUACGAAAAAGCAAUUUUUGAAGUCAGUUGAAUUCAAUCAAACUGCUAACAAUU